rfam:Schistosoma haematobium scaffold15_45, whole genome shotgun sequence.
AUUCAUCUGAUGAAUCUCAAAUAGGAUGAAACGUGCGUUUCCUGGAU